rnacentral:ncRNA from 1 species
CGAAAAUGGUUAAUGUUUAGCCCGUUAUGUCAGUAAUGGCAUAAUUGCACCCCCUGAAUUGCUGGGAACCCCUAAAGCUGCCCUAACCACAACAUAGCUAGAAAUAGCAAGUGUGACGGUCGAAAAUAGAGUAGAUGUAACAAUGGGCAAUCAGCAGCCGAGGUUCUUUAAUAUGAAUCAGGUUCAACGACUAUUCCGUUAGGAAGUACAUUCAAGCGAAUGGAAGUAGGGGGAAUCCUAGAACUAGGAUUAAGAUAUAGUCUGGUCUUACGCGAAAGUGUGAG